rnacentral:piRNA from 2 species
UCUCAGACCAGAGGAGGAAUGUGCUCAGA